CUACUACAAAUAUAAAUUGGUAUGUCACUUCUUCCAGAGUUUAUGUUUAUAUUCAAUGCAGUCCCUAUAAAAAUCCCAGCAUAAAUUUUUGUUAAAUAAAAAAAUGCAAAGGACCAAAAAGAUAAUCUUAAAAAAAAAAACCAGAAUCUCCCUUUGUCACCCAGGCUGGAGUGCAGUGGAUCAAUCUUGGCUCACUGCAACCUCCACCUUAGGGAUUCAAGUGAUUCUCCUGCCUCAGCCUCCCAAGUAGCUGAAAUUACAGAUGUAUGCCACCACCCCUGGCUAAUUUUUGUAUUUUUACUAGAGAUGGGGUUUCACCAUGUUGGCCAGGCUGGUCUCGAACUCCUGACCUCAAGUGAUGCACUUAUCUCGGCCUCCCAAAGUGCUGGGAUUAAAGGCAUGAGCCACAGCACCCAGCCCCAAAAAAUAAUAUUUAUACAUAGCAAUGUAGGAGAACUACCCUAUGUCAACAUUUGUGGUAUUGACACAAGGACAGAUCAUUGUAACCAAACGGGACAGAAAAGAGUCCAGAAACAGACCCAUACGUAUAUGAUCACCUGUGACUUAUGCCAAAAAUAACACUAGUGCAGAUGGGGAAGGAUGUGCUUUUCAAUAAAUAGUACUCAGUCAAAACUGGUAUCCGUAUGAUCCAUAUGAAAAACAAAAGUAAAUCUUGACCCCUUCUUCACAGCGUAAACAAAAAUCAAUUCCAGAUGGACUGCAAUCUGAUAUGAAAGACUGUUACAAUAGACUUUUAGAAAGAAACACUGAACACUGUCUUCACAGGGAGUGUCUGGAAAGGAGCUGAGGGUACUUUCAAGGAGCUGCUGAUAUUCCUGAUUUUGAUCUUACUAAACAAAUUAUAAAAUGAUUUCAAUAUAUGUACCCACGUAAGCAUAAAUUGGUACUUUAAGACAUAAUACUGAAAACCUUUUACAAAAAGUUUUGCAGAAAGAAAGGGUCCUAAUAGCAAAGGAAGUUCAGGCCGGGAGCAGUGGCUCAAGCCUGUAAUCCCAGCACUUUGGGAGGCCAAGGCGGGUGGAUCAUGAGGUCAGGAGAUCAAGACCAUCCUGGCCAACAUGGUGAAACCCUGUCUCUACUAAAAUACAAAAAAUUAGCCAGGCGUGGUAGUGGGCGCCUGUAAUCCCAGCUACUUGGGAGGCUGAGGCAAGGGAAUCGCUUGAACCUGGGAGGCUGAGGUUGCAGUGAGCUGAGAUCGCGCCAUUGCACUCCAGCCUGGCUACAGAGCAAGACUCCGUCUCAAAACAACAACAACAACAAAAUAGCAAAGGAAAUUUAAUUGAAAAAAAAAAUCUAAAGUUACUGAAUAAUUUACCCAACCUGUGCAUUUUUUUACUCUAUAUUUCCAAUUACAUAGUUAAUUGAAAUGGGUUUCAAUGCAAUAGUGCAAUUACUUCAAGAAGAGUGUAGUGAUUUACAUUUGUAACAGAAGAGUUGAAACUUAACAGAUUUGUAUCCAAACUUUAAUAAAUUAGUGAAGACAUAUGAAAUGCAGAGACUUUAAUGAAUUUUAUUAAUAAAGUUUAUUUUAAAAAUAUUUCUGGCCGGGUGUGGUGGCUCAUGCCUGUAAUCCCAGCACUUUGGGAGGCCAGGCGCGCAGAUCACGAGGUCAAGAGAUCGAGAUCAUCUUGGCUAAUAUGGUGAAACCCCUUCUCUACUAAAAAUACAAACAAUUAGCUGGGCAUGGUGGCACACGCCUGUAGUCCCAGCUAGCCAGGAGGCUGAGGCAGGAGAAUCACUUCAACCUGGGAGGCGGAGGUUACAGUGAUCCGAGAUCACGCCACUGCACUCCAGCCUGGACAACAGACUGAGACUCCAUCUU
rnacentral:lncRNA from 10 species